UACGAAGGGGGGCUAGCGUUGUUCGGAUUUACUGGGCGUAAAGCGCACGUAGGCGGAUCGUUAAGUCAGGGGUGAAAUCCUGGGGCUCAACCCCAGAACUGCCUCUGAUACUGGCGAUCUCGAGUCCGGAAGAGGUGAGUGGAACUCCUAGUGUAGAGGUGGAAUUCGUAGAUAUUUAGGAAGAACACCAGUGGCGAAGGCGGCUCACUGGUCCGGUACUGACGCUGAGGUGCGAAAGCGUGGGGAGCAAACAGG
rnacentral:rRNA from 1 species